rnacentral:lncRNA from 1 species
UUUUUUCUACUCCUGUGUUGAAGUUUAUUUCUUCCCCAGUUGAGUUGAGUGCGUAUUUCCUUAGUAAAAUCGUUUUUCCUGCAUGGUUUAAGUAUUUCAGUUUUAUUCUGAUCUACCCGUUUCCGCUACAAACUUUCCCUUUGUUUCCCCGACCGAGUCUUUCCAUUUUUCAUGGAAUUCCUCUAGUCCCCCAAUUGUUUUAAGUCGUAGCCUGGCCUUCGCACAACCCUUUUCCCCCUAGAGUCUCUGUCUCCCCAGUGAGUUUUCCUUAGGGAAAUGCAUUAUACUCCUAUGGACUUUCAG